CAUAAAUAUGUAGCAACCACAGAACUGACACUUACUAGCAGUUUCCACUCACUACCAGGAAGCUGACUUACCGUAUACGACCUCUCCCCUUCACGCUACUGCAGGGUGGGAGAUGCAACAAUGGUCUUGAGAACAGCAGGAAGUGUGUUGGUGGUCUUUCUCUGGUCUGUAGCAGUGGUACUCGGGCAGUAUGGAUGGAGUGUGACCUACACCAAGAAUAGUAUCUGUGCCUUGAAGGGGUCAACAGUGGAGCUGUCCUGUUCUUACACAUAUCCCAGAGGUCAUAGAGUCAGAACAAUUGGAUGGUCUUAUUGGAAUAGUGAUGCGGGUCGAUUUGUUGAAAUCCAAUCUAAUA